CGUAUCACCCAAGACAACUUUACGGAGUUGACGAUUGACGGAGCGAAGCGACGUCAAAGCGUUCAUUAAAGUCGAGUUGGCUUAGGGAUACGUUCGUUGGGUAGGGGAGCGUUCUGUAAGCCUGUGAAGGUGUGUCGUGAGGCAUGCUGGAGGUAUCAGAAGUGCGAAUGCUGACAUAAGUAACGAUAAAGCGGGUGAAAAGCCCGCUCGCCGGAAGACCAAGGGUUCCUGUCCAACGUUAAUCGGGGCAGGGUGAGUCGACCCCUAAGGCGAGGCCGAAAGGCGUAGUCGAUGGGAAACGGGUUAAUAUUCCCGUACUUGGUGUUACUGCGAAGGGGGGACGGAGAAGGCUAUGUUGGCCGGGCGACGGUUGUCCCGGUUUAAGCGUGUAGGUGUGUGUUCCAGGUAAAUCCGGUUCACUUUAACACUGAGGCGUGACGACGAGGCACUACGGUGCUGAAGCAACAAAUGCCCUGCUUCCAGGAAAAGCCUCUAAGCAUCAGGUAACAUCAAAUCGUACCCCAAACCGACACAGGUGGUCAGGUAGAGAAUACCAAGGCGCUUGAGAGAACUCGGGUGAAGGAACUAGGCAAAAUGGUGCCGUAACUUCGGGAGAAGGCACGCUGACACGUAGGUGAAGUGAUUUACUCAUGGAGCUGAAGUCAGUCGAAGAUACCAGCUGGCUGCAACUGUUUAUUAAAAACACAGCACUGUGCAAACACGAAAGUGGACGUAUACGGUGUGACGCCUGCCCGGUGCCGGAAGGUUAAUUGAUGGGGUCAGCGCAAGCGAAGCUCCUGAUCGAAGCCCCGGUAAACGGCGGCCGUAACUAUAACGGUCCUAAGGUAGCGAAAUUCCUUGUCGGGUAAGUUCCGACCUGCACGAAUGGCGUAAUGAUGGCCAGGCUGUCUCCACCCGAGACUCAGUGAAAUUGAACUCGCUGUGAAGAUGCAGUGUACCCGCGGCAAGACGGAAAGACCCCGUGAACCUUUACUAUAGCUUGACACUGAACAUUGAGCCUUGAUGUGUAGGAUAGGUGGGAGGCUUUGAAGUGUGGACGCCAGUCUGCAUGGAGCCGACCUUGAAAUACCACCCUUUAAUGUUUGAUGUUCUAACGUGGACCCGUAAUCCGGGUUGCGGACAGUGUCUGGUGGGUAGUUUGACUGGGGCGGUCUCCUCCUAAAGAGUAACGGAGGAGCACGAAGGUUGGCUAAUCCUGGUCGGACAUCAGGAGGUUAGUGCAAUGGCAUAAGCCAGCUUGACUGCGAGCGUGACGGCGCGAGCAGGUGCGAAAGCAGGUCAUAGUGAUCCGGUGGUUCUGAAUGGAAGGGCCAUCGCUCAACGGAUAAAAGGUACUCCGGGGAUAACAGGCUGAUACCGCCCAAGAGUUCAUAUCGACGGCGGUGUUUGGCACCUCGAUGUCGGCUCAUCACAUCCUGGGGCUGAAGUAGGUCCCAAGGGUAUGGCUGUUCGCCAUUUAAAGUGGUACGCGAGCUGGGUUUAGAACGUCGUGAGACAGUUCGGUCCCUAUCUGCCGUGGGCGCUGGAGAACUGAGGGGGGCUGCUCCUAGUACGAGAGGACCGGAGUGGACGCAUCACUGGUGUUCGGGUUGUCAUGCCAAUGGCACUGCCCGGUAGCUAAAUGCGGAAGAGAUAAGUGCUGAAAGCAUCUAAGCACGAAACUUGCCCCGAGAUGAGUUCUCCCUGAGACUUAGAGUCUCCUGAAGGAACGUUGAAGA
rnacentral:rRNA from 1 species